CCGUCCUACGGGAGGCAGCAGUGGGGAAUAUUGCACAAUGGGGGAAACCCUGAUGCAGCGACGCCGCGUGGGCGACGAAGCGCUCCGGCGCGUAAAGCCCUGUCAGCAGGGAAGAAAAAAGACAGUACCUGACCAAGAAGCCCCGGCUAACUACGUGCCAGCAGCCGCGGUAAUACGUAGGGGGCAAGCGUUAUCCGGAUUCACUGGGCGUAAAGGGUGCGCAGGCGGCGAGUUAAGUCAGCGGUAAAAUUUCGGGGCUCAACCCCGACGAGCCGUUGAAACUGGCUUGCUAGAGAGGGCGAGAA
rnacentral:rRNA from 1 species